CUUACCUUAUCUUUUUAUUUCUCACCCUUUUUUCUAAUUUUUAGUUAGAUUAUUCAGAUUUUCUCCCUUUCUCACUAAGUCAAUCUAGAGGAAGAAAAUGCAGUCUUCCCGUGCCUCCAUCGUUUUUGGUUCAAGUUCAAGGUCACUGAUUACUUUGCCACCAUCAAGUAGUAGCGUUGAUCGUGCCACAGUUACCGGAACCAGAGUGUGAUUCCAUAGCCACCGCAACCAUCGUAACAGUGUAAUCCCUACUUUUGUUCAGCAGCACCUUGUCCAAGAUUCAACCAUGUGGCAGCUCUUUAUGAUGGAGGCGAAUGGACACAAAGAGUCAACCAUUGUUGCAGCAGCAACAGCAGGAUGUAGUUCCAUUACAAGACAGUUACAUGCAAAUUUGUUACUGUUAGAUCAAAUCUCUAUUUGUUUUGCUAGUAAUUCUAUUAUCAAGUAUACCUUUGCCAACUUCAUUAAAACUGUUUAAAUCUUGAAUAUUUGAUUAUCUUGUCACUCAUGAAUUUGUUUGCUAAUUUCCAGAAUUGGUAGUUUGCUAAACAAGAACACAACCCAAGAACCUACAUUUGAUAGGAUAAUUAUUGUCUACAGACCACCUGAAGAUGAAGAAAAUAUCAACCAAGAAGAAAAUGUCAACCAAUAAAUCUUCUACAUGGGGACAUGUAGUUACAUCAUCAAUCUCAUUCAGGUUUCUAUAAAGAGCGAAAAUUAUCAAGGAGAGUUGCCUCGUGAUUUUACUAUGCAUUAUGCACCAACGGUAUCUGAUCAAGGAAGUGUUUCUAACGAAGAAACAAAUGAUCAACAUCCACCACCGCAUUAGAUGAUAUUUUUCGUUUACUUUUGGAAGUUUUCAACAAAUAUGCUUCUAGGAAACUUUUGGUGCUAAUGGGGAACAACUCUAAUUUCCUUUUACAUUUUGGUUUAUUGUAGGUAGAUAGUGCACUCCUUAUUAUGUCACUAUCAUUCAAAUGCUACCUCUCCAACACUUAUUAUAUUAAGAGCAUUAUGAUUGCUAGUCCACUAUUGGUACUAUUUGAAUGAAUAUUUGUAUUGAUUGCUUA